AGCGCAGUGACAACAUGACAACCAAGUUCAACAGCCUCAUAGCACACUACAUCCGGUGAUUCCCCUCUAAAUUCCGAUAAAUUGAUUGCCCAAAUUAUUUUCUACAAUAGCUUUUAUUAUGGUGAUCCAUGAAAGAAGGCAGUCCUAUAAUUUGGUCGCUGGAUGGAAGUAGAAGUUUGCACUUACAAAAGUAAAGUAUGUUUUUAGUGCCACUGUUGUUUCUUGCUUCACGACGUUGUUUCAGGCUGCUCUUGAUGGACAAGCCUGAGCCACCUCCAGAAAGGCUAUCUUCCUGAUGCCACCCAAGGAUCUGACCACCUAAAUUAGGUGUUCUCCACCCAGAUGGGUUCGAGUGAUCAGGACACUAUCGCGGGGCGUGAGGAGAGCGAGGAGAUGAAGAGAGCAGAUACAUGAGGAGGAGGACUAGGGGGCAGCGCGCCUGCCGGAUCCGAGGCAUGCGGGCGCGUAGGCGAGCUUCUUCGGC